UUAGAGUUUGCUUUUGGCUCAGGAUGAACGCUAGCGGCAGGCUUAACACAUGCAAGUCGAGGGGCAGCGAGAUCAGUGCUUGCACUGAUUGUCGGCGACCGGCGCACGGGUGCGUAACGCGUAUGCAACCUACCCAUUACAGGGGGAUAACACUGAGAAAUCGGUACUAAUACCCCAUAACAUCCAGGGAGGCAUCUUCUUGGGUUGAAAACUCCGGUGGUAAUGGAUGGGCAUGCGUUGUAUUAGUUAGUUGGUGGGGUAACGGCCCACCAAGACAACGAUACAUAGGCGGACUGAGAGGUUAACCCCCCACAUUGGUACUGAGACACGGACCAAACUCCUACGGGAGGCAGCAGUGAGGAAUAUUGGUCAAUGGACGCAAGUCUGAACCAGCCAUGCCGCGUGCAGGAAGACGGCUCUAUGAGUUGUAAACUGCUUUUGUACGAGGGUAAACGCAGAUACGCGUAUCUGUCUGAAAGUAUCGUACGAAUAAGGAUCGGCUAACUCCGUGCCAGCAGCCGCGGUAACACGGAGGAUUCAAGCGUUAUCCGGAUUUAUUGGGUUUAAAGGGUGCGUAGGCGGUCGGAUAAGUUAUGAGGUGAAAUCCCGGGGCUCAACUUCGGAAUUGCCUCUGAUACUGUUCGGCUAGAGAGUAGUUGCGGUAGGCGGAAUGUAUGGUGUAGCGGUGAAAUGCUUAGAGAUCAUACAGAACACCGAUUGCGAAGGCAGCUUACCAAGCUACUUCUGGCGUUGAGGCACGAAAGCGUGGGGAGCAAACAGGAUUAGAUACCCUGGUAGUCCACGCAGUAAACGAUGAUAACUCGUUGUCGGCGAUACAGUGUCGGUGACUAAGCGAAAGCGAUAAGUUAUCCACCUGGGGAGUACGUUCGCAAGAAUGAAACUCAAAGGAAUUGACGGGGGCCCGCACAAGCGGAGGAACAUGUGGUUUAAUUCGAUGAUACGCGAGGAACCUUACCCGGGCUUGAAAGUUAGUGACGGAUCUUGAAAGAGGUCUUCCCUUCGGGGCACGAAACUAGGUGCUGCAUGGUUGUCGUCAGCUCGUGCCGUGAGGUGUCGGGUUAAGUCCCAUAACGAGCGCAACCCCUACCGUUAGUUGCCAGCAGGUCAAGCUGGGCACUCUGACGGGACUGCCGGUGUAAGCCGAGAGGAAGGUGGGGAUGACGUCAAAUCAGCACGGCCCUUACGUCCGGGGCUACACACGUGUUACAAUGGCAGGUACAGAGGGCAGCUACCCAGCGAUGGGAUGCGAAUCUCGAAAGCCUGUCCCAGUUCGGAUUGGAGGCUGAAACCCGCCUCCAUGAAGUUGGAUUCGCUAGUAAUCGCGCAUCAGCCAUGGCGCGGUGAAUACGUUCCCGGGCCUUGCACACACCGCCCGUCA
rnacentral:rRNA from 1 species